UUUGACCCAAAUAAAUGUCAUAUCCUCAUAAAUUGUACAAAUUAAAUGGAUCAAUCAUUUGGGAAAACGCACAUGUCAACUAUGGGAGAAAAAAAACAUAUGCCAUCAUAUGCAAGAGAGAAAAUCCUACAUGUAAUUGAUUUGAGAAUAUUCGUCCAAUAACUAACAGUUUUCAUUUGAACAAAGACUGGGAAAAACAAAAUAAGUGAGUCUCAGCACGACGUCCAGCAUUUGCGUCAGAGGGAUGUGGUUUACGGUAAACGGGAGCCUGUUACCAUGUGAUUUCUGCGAUGUUUGUAAACAUGCGUCAGCCACAUGUGAUUCUGGGGAUGAGGAAAGACUCUCUGCGUGUUCGGCCUAUCACUGAGCGGGGGAGUGUCAGGGGCGGGGCUUCCGUGUUGCGCUAUGGAAAAUCGUUAUGGGAUACAGAGUGUCAAACGUGUGCUCCGAGGCUGACAGCAGCGACAAUGGGGCCGAACCGGGAUCCAUCCAGGUGCACAAAGCGUCCAGCCAGUGCCCGUUCUGUGUGACGGCAGCCGGAGAAGGGCUGACACUUCUCCGUUACGGAAGGGAAACAAGCUUUAGGACCUGAUUUUUCCAUCUUGCAUCACAGUUGACCCCACUUGGACCAGUAGCAGCACUGGAUGCCUGAGGCAGAACCAGGAGAGGACACAGGAUCCUGCUGUGUACUGCGAGGAGAUCUGCUGGGAGCUGCAGGCAUCUGUUUUACACAAUAUGAAUCACACAGUUUAGUUAGAUUCCCUAUCUGGUGCCAAUCCUCCAUCAGAACCCUUCUGACCGGGAACAAUCUAAUGUUCUCCUAAUGCAGAUUGUAGAUUUUUCUUUUAGAUGUGCUGUCAUUGACGACAGUGUUUCCCCUUUUUUGGCUUCAGUUUGAUUAAAAAAUCAGAAACUUGU